rnacentral:ribozyme from 1 species
GAAAAAGAGGAAAAAGAAGAAAAAGAAGAAAAAGAGGAAAAAAGG